UCUGCGGAGGUUCCCAUUCAACAAUGGCCUGAACCUUGGACGGAUCAACCUUAAUGCCCUCGGCAGAGAUAAUAUGCCCAAGAUACACCACUUCUUUCAGCCAGAACUCGCACUUGGAAAACUUUGCAUAAAGCUUGUAUUCUCUCAGUUUAUCAAGCACCAACCUGAGAUGUUUCUCAUGUUCUUCCUCAUCCUCAGAAAAGACCAGAAUGUCAUCGAUAUAAAGCAAGACAAACUCAUUCUUGAAUGGCGAGAAGAUAUAGUUCAUCAAUCGGCAAAAAGUUGGAGGAGCAUUAGCCAGACCAAAAGACAUGACCGUAUACUCAUAAGAGCCAAAACUGGUCCUGAAUGCCGUCUUUGGAAUGUCUUCCUCACGAAUGCGAAUCUGAUGAUAGCCCAUCCUGAGAUCAAGCUUGGAGAAUACUUUAGCACCUUUCAACUGCUCGAACAACUCAUUUAUGUUCGGAAGCGGAUAUUUGUUCUUGAUUGUCUUCUUGUUCAAUGGGCGGUAAUCGACACACAGUCGUUCCGUACCAUCCUUCUUCUUGACAAAUAGAACACCACAUCCCCACGGAGACGAGCUUGGUCUGAUCAAACCCAAACGCUCCUGCUCAUCGAGUUGCCUCUUGAGUUCCUUCGACUCUUCUGGACCCAGCUUGUACGGCCGCUUGCACACUGGCUCUGUGCCUGGCUCAAGCUCGAUGACGAACUCCACUUCACGGUGCGGAGGCAUCCCUGGCAACUCUUCAGGAAACACGUCCUGAUAUUCGCAGACUACUGGAACUUGCUCAAUGGGAUUGAUCUCACCCUUUUCAUUCAAGGAGAACAAGCGGACUGUGUCAUCGCGCGCCGCGAAUAUAAUCACAUCCUCCGAAGAGUGGGUCAGCUUCACUUCUUUAGCUUCACAAUCAAUUGAUGCUUUGUUCAUGGCCAACCAGUCCAUACCAAGGAUCAAAUCAAUGUCGGACUUUCCCAAGACAUACGGAGAGGCCAGAAAAGCAUAAUUGUCCAUUUUGAUAGAAACAUCCGGAGCAAACCAACGAGAACUCAUAAGCAUGCCCGGAGAAACAAUAUCGAAAGACCUGGCCAACUCUUGAAGAUGGAUAUCGUGCUUUGCCGCAAAUGGAUAAGACAAGAAAGAAUGCGAUGCACCAGAAUCAAACAAGACUUUAGCAGGAAAAUCAUUGACUAAGAGAUUACCCAUGAUCACAUCCGAAGAAUUUUCUGCCUCAGCUGCAUUCACCAUGUUGACUCGAGCUGAUCUGGGGUUGAACUUCACAAGAGCGUUGCUAGGAGGUUUGCCUGGAGGAGGAGGCGGCAGACGGAGCUGAGAAGUGCAUUUGUUGGCAUAGUGACCCUUCUGCCCACAUUUGUGACAAGUGACAUCUGCUGGCUGCCGGAACUGAAUCUGAGGAGGCCCUUGCUUCUGCUGCUGAUAUCUCUGCUGGAAUCCAGGGUUGGGUGGGCGGGAAGAACCACGUCCACCUGAGUGCUUCGGCUGCUGAGAGUGCCGAGGAGGAGGAGGAGAAACCCAAAACCUCUGUUGUUUCUGAACCACCUGAGUCGAGGAAGAGCUGGAAUCUCUGAAACGUUUCUUGGAGUUCUCCACCCUGAGCAAGGCUGCCUCUGCUCUGAGAGCUAAGUUAUAGAAUUUGUCAAACUCCUCAGGAUCGUGCAAAGCGAGUGCUAACUGCAAAUCCUCCUUCAAACCACCCCUGAACUGGUAUAUCUUGCUCUUCUGAUCCGGAACAUCCUGCAAUGCGUACCGGGCGAGCUCGUGGAACUCAACAUUGUACUUGUACACAGAAUUGCUGCCCUGCUUCAAGCGCCUGAACUUCUCACGCAUCUCCUCAACAAAACUGGAAGGAAUGUAGUGGGACCUGAAGUCACGACAGAACUCGUCCCAAGACAUCACCCUGCCACCUCUGGAAUCCUUAAGCUGCUGCCACCAAAUAGAAGCCUGUCCCUUCAUCUGGAAUGUUGCAAACUUGACAUAAUCCUCUGGACGCACAUUGCUACACUCGAAAUGCUUGUUCAUAUCACGGAUCCAAUCUUCCGCGUCAAACGGCUGGUCGCAAGAAGUGAACGUCCUGGGCUGGUUUGACAGGAACUGACUCAGACUAGCGAAGUGAUUGCCACCUUGCUGGAAAUUGCCUUGCUGAUGAUUGGCUCUCUCCUGGAUCAACUGCAACAACAUCUGAGUAUUUGCAUUGGUAGCUGCCAUCAUUGCCUGCCAAGCCUCUGCAGGAGGAGGCGGCGGCGGUGGCGGAGGAGGAGGUGGAGGCGGCAUAUCCUCACGGGCUGGUGUCUGACGAGUUGGUGGAGCCAUCCUGAAGAUGGACAGCAAAUUAGUCCACUGAAUAUUUGAAGAUAAGCUGAAUCAACAGACAGAAUAUCUGAAUAGAACUUAGCAUUGCACUCGAACAACAUAGCAAAAGUGCAUUCUCAAAGUAACAUACGACAAAAUUCCGAUAAGGGCCACAGCAAACAAGUGUGAGCUAGAACUGCUCGGAACAAACAUAUGAUCGAGAUUUCCCAAACCUCAAUCAAGCGACUGUAGGAAGAUAGUCCUAUAAGAUACUACCAGAUAUCCCACCUAUGAAUUCUCGAAAUAACUGGUCAUGUAAUCAGGCACACAGAUACAAGGAGUAUUUCACACAACUCCUAAUCUAAACCAUCACCUGUAUCACAUCCUUCAACACACAACCAGCAUCUCGGACCUUCGUCUACACAGAUCCUCGUGAUCACAACGAUACAAAGUGUGGUAGUACCCCCGAACAAUCUACACCAGUACUGGGGACGUCGGGGUUAUCUCACCACUACCCGUAUUGAAGCAAUAACGAACACCCUCCGUUCUUAGGUGCUCAGAAAUCUGAAUGAUGGCGAUGUGCGCGAUAAUCCCUGGAGCUCAACUCCCCUGAUACUUAGAGCAGAUAGGAGGCACCAGGACACGAUUCCGUCACAUCGAAAUCAUAUAGAUUUCGCAAACACCCGCGUGAUCCUAAAAAAAUUUUGAGCGGGAAAAGGAGUAGAGUUAAAGAUUUCCUAAGACGGAAGCCUCACCAGAGCAAGGAAGAGGAGAAAAAUGAAACCUACUCUCCGAUAUAACUAAGACUCAAAACAUUUACUAGACUCGACUCGGCCAAAUACGAUCACACAAAGGCUCCUAUGGUCGUAAGGCUCUGAUUACCAACUUGUAACGACCAAGAUGCGGUCCUUUCCGAUCUGGGGGGCGAGGCCCCCGAAUAGGAAAGAAGCGCAUCUAAGUGUUUUGCAAGCAAGUAAACAUAGCACAUAAUAAUAAAUAAAGUAGACAAUCUGGGAUUCAAUUGUCUUCUUAUUAAUAAAACAGAGUACAACGCAGAUACAAUCAAUGUAGUUCCGGUACGGACUACAAAACAAGGAAAAUGCUAUGCUACCCGCUGCAGGCCCACGAUCACAACCACGGCUCAGUCCUCUGGAUAGUUCACGUAAAGGCGAUCUGUCUCCUCGUCGUACUGCCACGUCAGCUGAGCGCCAUCGGGAUCAUCUGCCUCUGGGGUACCUGUACCUGCUGGGAGUUUCGGAGGAAUCCGUGAGUCACGGGGACUCAGCAAUCUAAGACCUUGGUGCCAGAACUAGACAUGUUAUUGGGUAAGGAAGGGGUGAAGUGUUUCAGGCUGCUGCAUCCUAAGGUUGAAUAAGAGGCUAGCUUACACAAAGGAGAAGUGACAGUGCUCUAUACUAACGGUCGUGAUUACUUGAUCAGAAAGUGAUCCUGAACACAUACCUACGGCAUUCAUAACCCCACCGUGUUCCCGAUCGAAGAGGGAUCUUCGAAGGGACAGUCACGGUUACGCACACAGUUGGCAUAUUUUAUUAGUUUAUGUUUAAGUUUUCUAAUACCGGAUGUCAACAAAAUAUUCCAAGUUGCCACAUAACCGCGGGCACGGCUUUCCGAAAGAUUAAACCCUGCAGGGGUGCUCCAACUAGUCCAUCACAAACGAACACAGGCCGCAAAGGCAUCCUCUAUCACGAAACUCGUGAUCUCGUCGUAUUCCUUAGAGGAAAACCUCAACUCUGGGGAAAACCAAAAUCUCACCGGGAUUCCUAUACGCAAGAUACACCGCUAAGGCAAGACAAGACUAGCAGGACCUCCCGACGUGUCGACGACCCUGAUAAGAGCCGCGUAUCUCAGUCUCAGGACACACCGGAUGAGUCACACUACAGGUAUACCAAACCUCAGGUUGCCCUGUGGUGGCCCCAUAGUCUGCCCAGUUUGGACCAACACUCAUGAGGAGCACUGGCCCGGGUUGUUGAUUAAGAAACCUCGGGGUAGCUAUUCCCUAUGCAGCUUUUUAUUAAGUGAUUAGCAAAUAGUACCAAUGUUGGGUCCUGCCGGACAAGCCUUAACACUACGCGAUUUAUCAAGGGGGUCCCCAUAACAACCCCGAACGUGUUAGGAGCGAUCAUUAUGGAAUCAAACACCGGUAACCGGUAACUAAGGCGGCAAUAACGGAACAAGACACCCGGCAAAAGGCUAGGCCUCCCGUCAUUUACCAAAUAUAUAGAUACAUUAAUUAAAUACCAGAAAUUAAUAUAAUGAUAUCAAGCUCAUGGCAACUCAUGAGUGAAAAACACCUGCAACUAACAAUGCUAACAUUAGUAGCUGAGCAAGCCUACCUAGCCAUGCAAAUUUGCUAGGAAAGAGUAAGGUGUUUGGGCUCAUGGCAUAUGAAGAGGCAAUAUAUUUUCGGUGGUAGGCAGCGAGCAAUAUGACGUGGAAUCGAAACUAACAUUACAAGUCUAGAUAUGGGAUCAAGGUCAUGUCAUCUUGCCUGUGAUAUCCUCAGCUUGGAAUGGUUCUGGAUCGUCCUGCAAGUACUCUCCUGACUCCACGUAAUCGGUCUCCGCUCCCGGUGCUACCCAACACAAGAAUAACAGCCAAUGAACAGCAGCUCCACAAAAUGCAACAAUCACAUGAUGCAUGAGAUGAAAGUUGAGCAUGCACCACUAUUUCUAACACUAGCACAAGCAAGAUAAACUACAACGAGUUCCUGGACAGAACUUUGCACUAAACUAUUUGGACAUGCAUGGUAAUGAAAUGAACAGAUGCAUCUCGUAAAAACGGUGCAAAACCAUAUAAAGAACUUUGCAAACGGAGCUACGGAUCAACGGGAAACAACGAAACACGAUAUGAAGCCCUACGUGAAAGAUUCAUCACCACACACACAAUUGGCACAAAUCUGGUGUUCCCAGGUUGCCAAGACAUAUAUGAACCCAACAUGAAUGAAAUGGAGCAAGGUAGAACACUCCAACAACAAUUAAACGCAAACUUUGAACAAAAUGUCAAAACUACGCAAUCUGCCAGUUUCUGCAUCUUAGCUGUUUGAGAGCAACAUGCAACAUAGCUACAGGUCUUCAAACAUGACAAAUAAUAUAUGUGGCUGUUGCCAACCAAGAACACUACCAUAUCCAGCAAGAAUCACAGCAAAAGGAAUUAAACUCUAGAAGAUACAAGGCCACAAACUUUCCCAAAACCAUCAGUUCUCAGGGACUUAGUGAAAAUUCCUGCACCUGAGUUACUGUUUCUGUUCUGAAGCUUUUUGACAGAAAUCAAAACACAAGCUACUGGACACCAAAUGACUUGAAAAUUGACAGGAAGCUUCACAAACAUACCAGGUUCAAAACACUAGCAGUGAACUAAGUCCAGUUUCCACCACAAUGACCAGAACAACCUUAUCUACAGGGGAAGAAAAUGUUUUCAGCAUUCCAGACUUAGUGAAAUUUUCAGGGUUCAAAAAUCUGGAAUUUUCCAACCACAUGCCCACUUUGUCUAGGCAUAGUUUGCACACACAAGUUCCCAAGAGGUGUUUGACACCACUAUGGUAUUGAGCACAAACCCCUACAACUAACACACCAAGAUCCAUGCUUUUGGGCUCCAUCUAUAUCAUGGAAACAAAGCCCAAACUUUCAACAACAUAAAAAUGCAAAUCCAUAUGGUAUUCUUCUAAGAGGACAAUACAUAGGAGGGUUUCAUGUGCACAAUGACAAAGUGACAUGGGGGUUUGAACCCCAUGUUUGUGUCAUACACACCAACAACCCCAACACACAUGAGCCAACCCCACACACACAAUAUGCCCUCUCUCAUAUGAAACAUGAGGAGGUGCACCACUUGUAAAGGUGGGGAGGUCCACACCACCCACACAUCUAGCAUGACACAAAUCUAGUCCUACUAGAACUAGUUAGAGCAUACAAUAGCUACACUCCCUAAAUGAAUCCGACAACACCACACACUACCACUCAUGAGCACAUCAAUGCUCUUCAAGCCUUGCCAUGGGUGAGGCUCUCACACACAUAUCUAUACUAGAGCUACCACAAGCUAAUGCACACACAUCACAAUCUACUAGCCCCACAUGGUGCAAGAGCCCACUCCAAGCACAAGGGAAACACACUCACAUGCACAUCUUUCACAAGCACAACCACACACACUACAUCACCUAGCACAACUAUAACAGCAAGGAGAAAAAAAAAUACAUAAUUCCAUGGCCACCUUUGGUAGGCACAAGAUCAGCAAUAGUAAGAAGGGUGUUUUAAAAAAAAUGUAGCAGAAGAAAAAAAAACAACAAGGACAGAACACAAUAGCAAGAGGGGUCAGGAUUUGAACCCUGAACCUCCUGAUGCUCUCUACUGCACCCAUCCACUCUGCUAUGCCCCUGGGCUCGAUAGAGAAGGACCCAAACAGAGGUUAACUCUGUUGUGCUGCCCUACUGCAAAUCAGAAAGGAAAACAAGCAAGAUAAAAAGGGGGUGCAACGCAUGGGAUUCGAACCCUGCACCUGACGAUAACACAAACACCAUCUACCACUGCGCUGCUGUUACUGAUGUUAACAGGAGAAGGAAAAAAGGAUAAGGUAAUCCACCUGCAGGAAUAAAUCAAAACAAGGAACAAAAGGCGCCGAGGGGGGGACUCGAACCCACGCCCUCUUACAGGCGCACCAUGCUAGUUACCACUCGGCUAUGACUCGUCUACUGUCAUAGAAGAGAGUCUGAAACUAGGUGAGCUAACACUCCCGACUGACUGCUAUGCCCUGCGAAAUCUGCUGCUCGCCGGUAACAGAGAAGACGCCAUGGGGACUCAAUACGGAUCAACACGGCGAGGGAUCCAGCCUGGCCACGGCAGCUACCACGAGGGGGAGGAAGCCCCUCUGCGCAGCGCUGGCACGCACACACUCUGCACUGCAGAACAAGCCGCGCUACUGCAUCCUACUAAACCGCUGCUAGGGAACAGAGAAGCACGCGCCACGCCGGGAACGAGCCGGACCGCGGAGGAGGAAGGAAGGAGGAGGACGCGGCCUCACCUUGGGGGAAGAUGGGGCGCCGAACGGGGAGGAGGAGCGUCGAAGGGAAGCAGGCCGUCGACGAGGAGACCCGACGGCAGAACCGAAGGAGAUAUGGCGGGACACCGCGGGCACGGCCUAGACGAGCUCGGGUCCGGCGAUGUGGUCGGCCCCCGGGACCCCUAGCGCCGGGAAUGGAUCGCGGGGAUCCACCCCGUGCUCCCAGGCAUGACGACGGCGGCGAACGGAGGCGGGGCGCGACGCCACCGGCGACGCCUUCUGCUCUCUGUCCUGCUUCUCUCUGCUGUCUUACCUGACAGAGAAGAAGGAAGAGAGAUGGGAACGAGAUGGGUUUGGGAGAGGUGGCGGCGGCGGCUGAGGGGAGGAGAGGAACCCUAGGCUUCGGGCACGGACGCCAACGCAUCUUAUAGGGGGACCUCGACGUGCUGCUCACGGCGCCGUCAUCUCUCUCUCUCUCACACGUUCUGACGGAAAGCAGGCAGCGAGGGGAGGAGGAGGACGCCGUGAAGAAGGAAAAGAGAGGAGAGGUCUCGCGUGGGCUCUCUCUGGAGGGAGCCGCUGGGCCAGGAGGGAGGAAAGAGGCCCAAGCUGCCCAGGAGGAAGGAAAAAAAAUUGGGGAGGGGAUUCCUAUUUAGUAUUUAAACACACUCAAGAAAAUAACCCACAAAAUAAUCUACUGAGGCAAAAAUCAAAAGGAAAAUCCUGCUGGACUUAAGGAAUUUUUGCCCAAUAGGGAAAAAUAGGAAUGCAAUAAUUGGAGAAGUUUGAAAUUAAUGCAAAACAGUAAUUUAAGCUACUGUUUUGAAUUUAUUUGCACCACUAAAAUCAAAGAGUCAAAACAGUAAAAUUGCACCCCCUCAUAAGCACAUUUUAUCCACCCACUAGACAUUUUAGAAUCACCUUUGGGAAGAAGGAAUUUUGGCAGGACUGAACAUAGGAGGGAAAAGGAGUUCGAAAGCAAGAGCUUAAAAGACUGGCACUCACUCUUGCAUCACACACCAUUAUCACAUGCUCACAAGGUAGUGCAAAACCACCACUUAAUCCUAGCAAGAUCACAUGCACUCACAACACCACAACACUACUCCUAUUAAACUCAAAUGCAACAUGAUCAUGGCAUGCAAUCAUAAGUAUGGCAAGGAAUGAUAUGUAACUCAUGCAUGCAAGGGAAGUAAGCACUAGGGAACACACAUGAAUUCAAAGCACGAAAGAUAUCCUCAAGAUCUCUGACAAGCUGGCCCCACAUGGAAGGUUACAAGAAAGGAAAGUCUACACUUGGGGCAUUACAGGCGCCUACACCAAUUGAAGUGAAAGCUGAUGAUGGUGAUCAUCGAGCAUCGGAUCAAGUUACUACAAACCUCGUAGGUUGACAAGGUCGCGUACUACUACAGAGUGGUAGGGUAACCCUGUCUUGGAGGUCAUGUUGUUGAGCAACAGUGAACCUACGAGUUAUGGAGAAAGCAAUGGUGGGCCCAGAUUCUGACAAAUGGCUAGAAGCCAUGAAAUCCGAGAGAGGAUCCAUGUAUGAAAACAAAGUGUAGACUUUGGAAGAACUACUUGAUGGUCAUAGGACUAUUGAGUAAAGAUGGAUCUUUAAAAGGAAGACAGACGAUGAUAGUAAUAAGUCACUAUUAAGAAAAUCUCGACUUGUCGCAAAGAUGUUUCCGACAAGAUCAAACAGUUGACUAUGAUGAGACUUUCUCACUCGUAGCGAUGCUAAAAGUCUGUUAGAAUUAUGUUAGUAGUUGAUGCAUUAUUUAUGAAAUAUUCCAUGUAGGAUGUCAAAACAUUGUUUCCUCGACGGUUUCCUUGAGCAAACAUUGUAUGAGAUACAACCAUGAGGUUUUGUCGAUCCUAAAGAUACUAGCAAGUAUGCAAGCUCCAGUGAUCCUUAAAUGGACUGGUGCAAGCAUCUCGGAGUUGGAAUAUACACUUUGAUGAGAUGAUCAAGGAUUUUGGGUUUGUACAAGGUUUAUGAGAAACUUGUAUUUCCAAAGAAGUGAGUGGGAGCACUAUAGAAUUUCUGAUAAGUAUAUGUGUUUGACAUAUUGUGGAUCAGAAGUAAUGUAGAAUUUCUGUAAAGCAUACAAGGUUGUUUGAAAGGAGUUUUCAAAGGAAUACCCGGAUUGAGCUACUUGAACGUUGAGCAUCAAAUAUCUAUGGAGAUAGAUCGAAAGCGCUUAAUGGAAGUUUCAACAAGAUGCAUGCCUUGACAAGUUUUGAAGGAGUUCAAAAUAGAUCAACAAAUAAGGAGUUCUUGGUUGCGUUGUAAGGUGUGAAUUUGAGUAAGACUCAAAACCCGACCACGGCAGAAUAAAGAGAAUAGACGAAGGUCGUCUUCUAUGCCUUAGCCGUAGACUCUAAAGUAUGCCAUGCUGAGUACCGCACCUGAUGUGUGCCUUGCAGCAAGUCUGUUGAGAGGUACAGAGAGUGAUCCAUGAUUGAAUCACUAGCAGCGGUCAAAAUGUAUCCUUAGUAACUGAUGGACUAAGGAAUUUUUCUCGAUUAUGGAGGUGGUUAAAGAGUUCGUCGUAAAGGGUUACGUCGAUGUAAGCUUUGACACUAAUCCGAAUGACUAUGAGUAGUGAAACGGAUUCGUAUAGUAGAGUAGAUAUUUGGAGUAUUUCCGAAUAGCACAUAGUAGCAGCAUCUAUAAGAUGACAUAAAGAUUUGUAAAGAAUACACGGAUCUGAAAAUUUCAGAACCGUUGACUAAAACCUCUCUCAUGAGCAAGACGUGAUCAGACCCCAUAACUAUAUUGGGUGUUGGAUUCGUUGGAAUCACAUGGUGAUGUGAACUAGGUUAUUGACUCUAGUGCAAGUGGGAGACUGUUGGAAAUAUGCCCUAGAGGCAAUAAUAAAAUGGUUAUUAUCAUAUUUCCUUGUUCAUGAUAAUCGUCUAUUGUUCAUGCUAUAAUUGUAUUAACAGGAAACAGUAAUACAUGUGUGAAUAAAUAGAUCACAAUGUGUCCCUAGCAAGCCUCUAGUUGGCUAGCUCGUUAGUCAAUAGAUGAUCAUGGUUUCCUGAUCAUGGGCAUUAGAUGUCAUUGAUAACGGGAUCACAUCAUUGGGAGAAUGAUGUGAUGGACAAGACCCAAUCCUAAGCCUAGCACUAGAUCGUAUUGUUCGUAUGCUAAUUCUUUUCUAAUGUCAAGUAUCUUUUCCUUCGACCGUGAGAUUUUGCAACUCCCGGAUACCGUAGGAGUGCUUUGGGUGUAUCAAAUGUCACAACGUAACUGGGUGACCAUAAAUGUGCACUACGGGUACCUCCGAAAGUGUCUGUUGGGUUGGUACGAAUCGAGAUCGGGAUUUGUCACUCCGUGUGACGGAGAGGUAUCUCUGGACCCACUCGGUAGAACAUCAUCAUGAGCUCAAUGUGACUAAGGAGUUAGUCACACGAUGACGUGCUACGAAACGAGUAAAGAGACUUACCGGUAACGAGAUUGAACAAGGUAUAGGUAUACCGACGAUCGAAUCUCGGGCAAGUUCUAUACCGACAGACAAAGGGAAUCGUGUACGGGAUUGAUUGAAUCCUUGACAUCGUGAUUCAUCCGAUGAGAUCAUCGUGGAGCUAGUGGGAGCCACCAUGGGUAUCCAGACCCCGCUGAUGGUUAUUGGCCAGAGAGGUGUCUCGGUCAUGUCUGCCUGUCUCCCGAACCCGUAGGGUCUACACACUUAAGGUUCGAUGACGCUAGGGUUAUAGGGAAUUGUUAUACGAGGUUACCGAAAGUUGUUCGGAGUCCCGGAUGAGAUCCCGGACGUCACGAGGAGCUCCGGAAUGGUUCGGAGGUAAAGAUUGAUAUAUAGGACGGAUGGUUUCGGAUACCGGAAGUGUUUCGGACAUCACCGGUAACGUACCGGGACCACCGGGAUCACCGGAGGUGGCCCCGGGGGACCACCGAAGGGGGGCAACGACCAUGGGAGAUAAGGUGGGCCAAGUGGGGGUGGGAACCAGCCCUUAGGUGGGCUGGUGCGCCUCCCCACUCAGCCCAUAGCGCAAGGGAGAGAAAAAGGGGGGGGCAAACCCUAGGCCAGGUGGGCCUAAGGCCCACCAGAUGGUGCGCCACCCCUCCUCCCCCUUCUGGCCGCCGCACCUCCCAUCUGGGGGGGGCUGCCGUCCCCUAGGGUGGGAACCCUAGGGGUGGCACCCCCUCUCCCCUCCCCCUAUAUAUAUCGGGCACUUUUGGCCAUUGAGACACACAGUUUUUCCUCUCUCUCGGCGCAGCCCCGCUCCUCUCCCUCCUCCUCUCUGCUGGUGCUUGGCGAAGCCCUGUCGGGAGACCUCGUCUCUCCAUCGACACCACGCCGUCGUGUUGCUGGAGUUCUUCCCCAACCUCUCCCUCCUCCUUGCUGGAUCAAGGUGCGGGAGACGUCACCGGGCUGCACGUGUGUUGAACGCGGAGGUGCCGUUGUUCGGCACUAGAUCGGAAUCGCUGCGAGUACGACUCCAUCAACCGCGUUCUAGCAACGCUUCCGCUUAGCGAUCUUCAAAGGUAUGAAGAUGCUCUUACCCCUCUCUCUUUGCUGGUCUCUCCAUAGGAAGAUCUGAAUAUGCGUAGGAAAAUUUUGAAUUUGUGCUACGUUACCCAACAUGUAGGUCAUAUGUUACACAUUUUUGUAGCAUGACCUACAUAUAUUUAUAUGUUGUACAUUUGAAGCGAGCAAACAUAUGUAGGUCAUAUGUUACACAUUUUGGUUAAAAAUGACACCCGUUUGACUUCAAUCCAAUAGAUUUUGUUUUUGACAUAACAUUUUGUCACAUGCUUCAUAUACUUUGUUGUUUUCAAAUAUAUUCCGAGAGCAUUCUUAAAAUUGAUUUUGUAACUGUUUUAGUUUUCUAGCAUCUAUUUAUGCAUAUUUUUUAUCAAGGUUUCAGCAGCAACGCGCGGGUCAUCAUCUAGUAAGAAAUAGAAGUUGUGGACUAACGAUGGUUUUAUAAAAAUCCAACAUUUUUUUCGAUCAACAGGGCUCACCGCGGUUCCAUUUCAUGAACCCUGUUCCAUUUCAUUGAAACAAAACAUAAAAAAUAAACCCAAUAAAUACAAGUAAGAGAAGGGGUAAAUGGCUCAAAUCAUGUUCUAGUUGUAUUUCAGGGAGCCGAUCAAGCCGUGGCUAGCACUUCUAGUAGUACGCUAUAGGAGUUCAGGCUACCUCCGUGCGCUGAAGCACAGCCGGCUCAACAGGUAAGGAGGCUUUAGGCCUGGCCGGAGAGUGCAUGAGAGAUAUUCAGCUUCAGGGUUUGUUUGUUUAGGAUUCGUACUCGGGUCCAAACAACAUAAUUGGAGGCACCUCCGCAAAGGGUUUUUUCCAAGCCGAAGUGAACUAUGUUGCGUUUGCUUGAGAAGCAACCUGCGAGAAGUGGAUGCCGUUGGUUGAGCUGUGAGAAUGCACAGGUUGGAUGUACAUUGAGCAUCGCAUGCUGGUUCCGGAUCCGUGCCAACAUUAUGCUUGCUAUCAUGUUGGUAUCCUCCAAUCUCUCACAUGACUAAACAUUGUGGACAUGCGGAUAAUGACAUGGUCGGGAAUAAGCAACUAAUUAAGAACAAAGGCUGGUUGCUCUUGCUCAUUGACACACACUCGGCUAAGACAGGAAGUCAGUGAAAGGUAUAUAUGUAGAAGCUUUCGUUCCUGCAACAAGGAAUGAUACACACAUAUAAGCAUGAGUACAUGGGAACUCUAGUGCAUAUGAGCAUGAUAAAGUCUGAAGUGUGUGAGCACAUCACGCAAUUGUUCCCCACAAAAGCCAACAUGACCGGUUUGAAGAAAUUAGCAAUCACAGUUUUGCAGCAUGCGUAUCACCCUCUCUUAUUCCCCCUUUGCUUUUUAUAGUACUUCAUAUUUCCUUCAACCGCAAUAGCAGAAACACCAGAUAAGCAUGCCUACUGUACAAUAUGCAUGAGGGAACAAAAUAAUUGAUCUCGUUCCCAUUGUCCUAGACAAUUGGAUUAUCUCACGUGAAUAUUUUAUAGUACAUGUACAAGUUGUAAAUACCAAGAGAAGUGUAAAAUAUUUUGAAUGACCGUUAUAUCCCAUGUAAUUUGUAAAAGAUAACUCUAGAAUUAAAUUGUCUAGGGUGACUGAUAAUUACUUGGUCAUAAAAUGAGUUAGUAAUACGGGUUCAAAUCAAGAAAAAAAAUAGCAUGCUACAGAAAAUAGCACAGCCCUUGAAAAUAUGCUAUAGCGUGUUAUAAUGUGUUUUUAGCGAGACAUUAUACACUAAUUAAUUUAAUGAAAUAAUUCUCUACACACUAUAAUGUUUUAUUUUUUUCAAUGGUUCAAAUGUCUAGGGUGACUGGUAAUUACUUGGUUUUCUUUAAGAUCGAAGUUCAUUUCUCCCUCGUGCGUUCGGACGUGUCCGAGCAUGUGCCCAGCAGGCUCCACAAAAUCCAGCAAUCUGAACAGUAAGGGGUCCCUCAAAUCCAGACCAUGUGUGGAGAAGAAAUAUGGUUGUCCAUACUCUGAACUAUCCGUCGUGUUAUCUACAACAUAUGGUCCCAACACAAAAACCCCACCCCACGACACAUCAUUCUUCUUUUCCUGUCAAAAUCUCCCCUUUUCGCUCGUUUUUUUGUCGUAGCAGGACCUUUUCGUUGAAAGCCUAUCUCCUCCUCCAGACGCACUCAAGCGAGCAUCUGCGUCCAGCUUGGCAUCAUCAACAAGAUAGAAGAUUUCAACGAUGAAGCUCUCCUUGCAUACGUGCAGUUUUUUCGCGAGCCCAUGUCACCGGAGCGUGUGGAAAAAAUCACGGAGAUCGCUGGACUGGCUUCACCCGCAAGCCUGCAACUACCCGAUGAAGAGCUCCAGGCGAUCUUGGGGGAGCUGGCAGGGCGCGUCCCCUGAACGCCGUCCAUGCGGCUGACCACACUGUAGACUGUUUAAUGCCAUGAUAAGUGCAUCAAUGUUUGCUUUCCUUUCCUCCUGGUUUGUGCGCCGUAUGGCUGCCCUGCAUGCUCAGGUAGCAGUCUGUAUCAUGCUGCAGGGGAUAUGCGCAACCCCUGCCUAUCUAAGUGUAGUCUCCUUUGUUUUUCCAUGAAUGAACACCUUUCUGUUUUUAAUUGGAAUGUGAGAGGUCUUAAUGAUGCUGCUAGACGCGCGUCGGUCCGCUCGCUUCUUGACACUUUGGCUUGCUCAAUUGUCUGCUUGCAAGAGUCCAAGCUUGACUCGUUCUCUGAUCAUGAUCGUAAUGAGAUUUUUGGCCGGCGUUUCGAUGAACAUGCGGCGCUCAAUGCGGUAGGCACGCGAGGAGGAGUCCUUUUGGGCUGGAGAACUGACCGCUACGUGGCUUCAGACAUCCAUGUGGGAGAAUUUUUUUAUCACCGCGAGGUUCUCACCGGUGGACAGGGGUCAGCCGUGGUCCUUGACCACGGUAUAUGGCCCACACGAUGAUUCACGGAAACAAGCCUUUCUCAGCCAACUCGCGAUCAUUCAUAAUAUGAUGCAAGGACCCUGGUGUAUUAUUGGUGAUUUCAACAUGAUUAAUGACCCCAGAGACAAGAACAAUGACAGGAUUUGUCGGCGUUGGAUGAAUCAUUUUCAGCGAGCACUUAAUAGGUCUGCGCUACACGAGCUGCCCUUGAUAGGACGCAAAUACACAUGGAGUAAUGAGCAGGCUGUUCCUACACUUGUUCGCCUGGACCGAGCUUUCCACAAUGUGGAAUGGGAGAUGUGGUUUCCAACAGCAAAACUGCUGCCGCAAGCGUCAUCUGUCUCUGACCAUUGCCCGCUGUUGUUGAUUGAUGAGAAUGUCAUCCACAUUAACAGGCGUUUUCGCUAUGAGAGCUACUGGCAGUACAUUCGUGGAUUCCAAGAGGUGGUUAAACAAGCAUGGACAGUUUCAACCGGCGACUCCUCCUCAAUUACUAGGCUUAGCAUCAAGCUAUGGAGGACCAGCAAGGCACUUAGAGUGUGGAGUAAAACCUUUGUGGGUGACGUACAAAAAUAAAUGCUAAUAGUCAAUGAGAUGGUGCUGCAGCUUGAUGGGGCCCAGGAGAUUAGAGACCUAUCACUACAAGAAAAGGAGUUGCGUACUAAGCUGAAAUCAAGAACAAUGGGACUGGCUGUUCUGCUCAAAAUCAAGAGACGUCAACGAAGCAGAGUGACAUGGCUCAAGGCUGGAGAUGCGAAUACUAAGUUCUUCCAUAGGAAGGCAAAUGCGCGCCGCAGGCGCAACACCAUCCAUGUCCUACAUGAUAGUGCGGGUGCAACAUCUGCAACAUCCACCUGCGCUAUGACUGAGCUGGCAAAACGACACUUCUCGACCUUUUUUGGUACUGCGGAUAAACUGACCUCAGCUAUUAAUUGGGACGGGCUAGGGUUCGAGCAGACGGACCUGACUGACCUUGAGGGAGAAUUCACCUUACAAGAGGUAAAAGCUGCCAUUGACGCUAUUCCACAAGAUAAGGCGCCGGGUCCAGAUGGGUUCUCAGGUGGUUUUUACAAGGCCUGCUGGAACAUCAUCAAGUUCGACCUGUUGGCGGCACUGAAGCAGCUAUACCACAUGGACAGUACCGGUUUAAACCGAAUUAAUAAGGCCAUCCUUGUCCUCAUCCCAAAGAAGAAUGGCGCUGAUAACCUCCAUGACUUUCGGCCAAUCUCCUUGAUUCAUAGCAUAGUCAAGAUUUUCACCAAGAUCCUUGCAAGUAGGCUCGCCCCUAAGCUGAACUCGCUGGUUGAUCACUGCCAAAGCGCGUUCAUAAAAAAUCGCAGCAUCCAGGAAAAUUAUCUGUAUGUACAAAACACGGCCCGGUAUCUCCAUAAACACAAGAGACCGACCGUGCUGCUGAAGCUUGACAUAGCCAAAGCAUUUGACUCCGUCUCAUGGGCUUAUAUACUCGAUAUGCUUGAGGCACGCGGUUUUAGUCAAAGGUGGCACGAAUGGAUAGCAAUGCUUCUCAGAACUUCCACCUCGCAAGUGUUGAUUAACGGCUCAGUAUCUGAUUGCAUCCAGCAUGGAAAAGGACUGCGGCAAGGGGACCCAUUAUCCCCAUUUCUUUUCAUUCUUGCCAUGGACCCCUUACAAUGGAUUUUGCGGUUAGCAACAGAGACACAACUCCUAUCAGUAAUUCCAGGCCGCAGGCAGCUGAUGAGAUGUGCAUUCUACGCUGAUGAUGUGGCGCUCUUUAUGCGGCCUUCAUUGUCCGAUGCACAAAUGAUAAAUUGUUGCUUGACUUCUUUGGAAAUGUCUCAGGGCUUCGCACAAACAUGGCCAAAAGCUCAGCCUUACCCAUCAACUGUGAAGGGCUAAACCUGGCCGCCAUCUUACGUCCUCUUGGCAUUCCUUUGAAGACAUUUCCAUGUGUGUACCUCGGCAUGCCGCUAUCGCUAAACCGUCUUCGCAAGGUUGAUUGGGACCUAUGGCUACAUAAAUUUGCUAACAAGACAGCGGAUUGGAAAGGGAGAUUGAUGGCCAAAAGUGGGCGCCUGGUACUGCUUAAUGCAGCCUUGUCAUCUCUGGCCAUUUACAUGAUGACGUCUCACAAACUACCGGCUUGGGUUCUUAAACGCCUAGUUCAAAUAUGUCGAGCCUGGCUAUGGAGUGGAGAGGGCGCGUGCAAUGGAGGCAAAUGCAGAGUUAAUUGGUCUGCCCUAGCACGCCCUAAAACCUUGGGUAGCUUAGGGGUUCUCGACCUGGAAAAAUUUGGCACGGCCCUUCGGAUUAGAUGGCUAUGGAUGGCCUGGAAGGAUCAGACUAGACCAUGGGUUGGCCUAGAACUGCCUUAUGAUGCCUCGGACCGUGCCCUUUUUUAGAUGGCCACGACUAUCACCAUACAAGAUGGCUGCACCGCGCGGUUUUGGCAUGACAGAUGGCUACAAGGCAUGUGUCCAAAAACAAUGGCGCCGGACCUUUACAAGAUCUCAAUUAGGAAAAACCGCACAGUGAAAGAAGCAUUAACUGCUGAAAAAUGGCUGACGGACUUGGCACACGGGCUGACAGAAACGAUGGUACCUCAGCUGGCCUGGCUGGCGGCAUGUCUCGAACAGAUUGAACUCACUCCCGAUAGGCCAGACACUGUAGAAUGGCGUUACAACUCCGAUAAAAGAUAUAGUGCAAAAUCCACCUACCUGCUGCAAUUCAAUGGCUCGACAACCAUGGAAGGAGCAAAAUAUAUCUGGACGGGCUGGGCACCGGGCAAAUGCAGAUUCUUUUUAUGGACAGCCGCAUUGGGGAAAAUACUAACGGCAGACGUGUUGUUGCGGCGAGGAUGGGAGAACAAUUAUUUCUGCCCUCUAUGCCAGAGAAAUCUGGAGACCGCUUUCCACCUUCUCGUGGAGUGCUCUUGGACCCGGAAAACCUGGGAUGCAAUCGCAACCUCAACUGACCUACCAUCACUGAGACCAAUCUCAUGGAUGGGAUUGAACAAUAUCAAAGGAUGGAUGCAUAACUGUUGGCAAAAUGCACCCACAACACGAAGGAAAGGAACUCAGUCGCUCCUACAUCUAAUAUCCUGGGAGAUCUGGCGCGAACGAAAUAGGCGGCUGUUCGAUCACAAAAGGAUGGACACUGAAACAUUGGUGAGAAGAAUUAGGGAUGAAAUUAGAGUCUGGAACAUGGCAGGAGCAGGGAUUCCGUUUGAUCUGGCUGAAUUCUGUUUUUUUUCAGCCGUGAGUUUUUUGCUUCUUUUCUCCUUUCUUUCCUUUCUAGCCCCUCUUUUUCGUUUGGUGGCUGGCCCUUCCAGGCCUUCUCUUGUAUUGUCUUGCCCCUUACUGAUCAAUUGAUUUGGUAGAUCUCCUACCAACAUUCAAAAAAGAAACUGAAUGACGCCCACUUUAUAUUCGCCAUGGUGCCCUCUCUCCUUCACACUGCAUUUUCUCACGAACCGCAAAGAGGAGUUUCCUGCCAACCACCCCGCUCACUUCCUUGAUCCCCUCCCCCCUUGUACAGUUGGAUGUGCAUGAGGCCGUGGUCGUUGGUGCCCAUGCCGACGCGUGGUACAAGGUAGGGCGCCGUCCGCAAGGCCAGCAGGAGAACGAGAGACGGCAUCAGAAUUCAGAACGUGCAGCAACUGAUAUUUCAGCUGAGGUGUACAACGUAACUGCCGAUGGAUUCAGCUUGGUCAUAAUGCUAUGCCAUGUAGGCUUUAUCGGCCAGCCGACGUACUGUGUGUGAGUAUGACCUGCAAGCUAACGAUGGGUCAAUAGCUCCUAUGCGACAUUUUUGAGGUGAAUUGAAGGAGUGGGACGUCUUUCGUCCGAAUUGCCUUGGUGCGAUACUUCUGAGCGAGGAAAUAUCCCAAACACGACAUGGCCUUUAAUCUGAACUGAUGUCCUCAUUAGCUGUUAGGGUUGGACCCACAACUUAUCCACGUAAGCGCGGGCCCUACUUGGCAGUACAUCUAUUUACGGGCCCCACUUGUCAGUGCAUCAGGUGAAACGUGUCUUAGAGGCUGGACCCACAACUUAUCCACGUAAGCGCGGGCCCUACUUGUCAGUGCAUCAGGUGAAACGUGUCACCGUGCCUGUCCGAAUGGGUACCCCUGUCUGAAAUGUGUUGCUCCCUCUUCUUCUUUCCCGACGGUGAGUUGCCGCCGGCGGCGGACCUUUUGUUCUGGGUGACAGCAGCGGCGAAGCUUUCGUUUUCGGCGACGGCGGCGGCUGUGGUGAGUGAAUCCGGAACCCUGUCCUGUUCUCCUUCAUGUUGAGUUAGAUCUCACCGCAUCGCCUCUGUUUUCCUCUGUUUUUGGUCGAUUUGAUCCAGAUUGCUGGUGCGAACGAGUACAUCAUUUGGCAGGUCAUCCGGCCAGAGCUCAGAAGAAACCUGUAGGGUAGCACCAAAAGCAGCCACAGUAUGCGCAAGAUCAUUACAAGCCGUGGGGGCAAAAGAGAACGAGCAAGCAUUAAAAUUCUGACGAGCAAAGACUCUGAUUUCUCUGAACAAGAUGCCUUCUGGUGCCUUGUCUAAUUCUGAGCUUUGUAGCGCUUUGACGAGCGUUGUCUAAUUCUGAGCUUUGUAGCGCUUUGACGAGCGUCUGGCAGUCUGACUCCACUUGCACGUACCAAAGUUCUCCAUUGGUUCCGAAGUCUGAAAGAAUGCAUCGAUAUAUAAUACAGUUGUUUUGUUCUGUACCAAAGUUCAGACACUUGUUGAAGAUCUUGUUUUAAUAGCAUCGUACCUUCUUCUUCCAACACUUGUUUAAGAUCUUCCUCAUGCUCAGAUCGAGGUAAUUUGAUUAUACGUCGGAUCUCCGUGCAAAGUCAAAUCAAAUUUGUGGUUGUUUUGCAUACUAGCCGCACAAACACAAUCUCUAUAGAAUACAUAUCUUAAAAAUGCCUUAACCAAGCCACACUUGUCUACCAAUUUUGCAUACGUAGUUUGAAGCUCUGUCUACAAAUGUGUUCUAUUGGUUCAAGUCUGAAGCUCUGUCUGCAAUGCAUACAGCGGAGUGCAUGCGGUGAGCACAAGCAAGUCCAGCCGACAGACUCAAGCAAUUCCUCCGCGUCCCCUCACUCUUGUCGCAUGGAAUGGAAUUGAUGUCCUUGAGCCCUCCCCCUCUUCUUUGGCAUGUCUACGGACUCCUCGGCGGCGUCCGCCAAUGGCGUCCUUCCCCUCGUCCGCGACCUUGUCCACGACAACGUUGCACUCUCUGGUAGCGCUUAAGCUUGUCGACGGUCUGGUGUUGGGGUAGCCGAAGAGUGCGACAAUUCCUCAGUUAACACAAUGCAACAAUUCUUGAGUUAAUCGACGGGGAGGAGCGUAACGUUUCGGUGGAGUUGGGCCGACCAAUGAAAGUGCAGCACGUGGAUCGCUGACGUAGCCCUACUUCCUAAUUCAAACCGUCCAUUCAGGACGAUCCAAUGGUCCGGACAGGUGCGGGGUUUUGAGACGUUUUCAAGGGUUAGGAUUGAACAUAACUAAUUCAAAAAAAAUCAAAAAAUAGAAAACUGGUGCCAAUCAUCGUUCUGUGUGGCUAAAUUGAUAGGAAAAAUAAGAAACCUGGACUAUGGAGUUUUUCAUGAAAAAACCUUCACAAACUUGGCUAUCACGAACAAGGUUGUAGGUUUUUCAAAGGUUAGGGUUGAGCAUAAGUAAUUCAAAAAAAAUAAAAAAUAAAAGAAAACUGGGGCCAAUCAUCGUUCUAUGUGACUAACUCGAUAGAAAAAAUAAGAAAUCUAGACUAUGAAGUUUUUAAUGAAAAAACCUUCAUAAACUUAGCUAUCACGAACGAGGCUGUAGGAUUUUCAAAGGUUAGAGUUGAACAUAAGUAAUUCAAAAAAAUAUAAAACUGGUGUCAAUCAAUUUGAGUUGUUACUAUAUGAAAAAGUAAGAACAUGUGUACUGGUUUUCCAAUAUUUUGAUUAUUUUUUUUUACAUUUUUAUGCUCAUUUCAAACUUGGUCAAACAUAAGUUUGACCAACAUUUAAACAAGUUUCAAACAUGAAAAUGACAAAUCAAGCCUAGAUCCUUCUUGGUCACUGCAAAAUGAAGCUUUUGUGAGGUUUUUGAAAGUUUGAAGUCCAACACCCAAAACCACUUGUCUUCACACAUGAGUUUCAAAUUAGCUCAAAAGGAGAUAAAUACCACAUUUCUAAGCAAGUUUUUUUGUCCACCAUGUGUAAAACAGCCAAAUCAAUUUGAGUUGUUAGUAUAUGACGAAGUAAGAACAAGUGCAUUGGUUUUCUAUUUUUUUAUGCUCAUUUCAAACUUGGUCAAACCUAAGUUCAACCAUCAUUUAAAUGAGUUUCAAACAUAAAAAUGACAAACCAAGCUUGGAUCCUUCUUAGUCACUGCAAAAUGAAGCUUUUGUGGGGUUUCUGAAAGCUUGAAGUUCAACACCCAAAAUCACUUGUCUUCACACAUGAGUUUCAAUUAGCUCCAAAGGGGGUAAAUACCCCAUUUCUAAGCAAGUUUUUUUGUCCACCAUGUCUAAAACAGCCAAAUCAAUUUGAGUUGUUAGUAUAUGAUAAAGUAAGAACAUGUGCACUGGUUUUCCAAAAACAAUUUAAAAAUUUAUGCUCAUUUGAAACUUGGUCAAACCUAUUUUUGACCAACAUUUAAACAAGUUUCAAACAUGAAAAUGACAAACCAAGCAUGGAUCCUUCUUAGUCACUCCAAAAUGAAGCUUUUGUGAGAUUUUUGAAAGUUUGAAGUUCAACACCCAAAACCACUUGUCUUCACACAUAAGUUUUAAAUUAGCUUCAAAGGGGGUAAAUACCUCAUUUCUAAGCAAGUUUUUUUCCACCAUGUCUAAAACAGCCAAAUCAAUUUGAGUUGUUAGUAUAUGACAAAGUAAGAACAUGUGCACCGGUUUUCCAAAUUUUUUUAAUUUAUGCUCAUUUCAAACUUGGUCAAACCUACUUUAGUCAUACUGACGUGGGGGGCUGACAGGUCAAUCUGACCCAUGGGCCAGGGAAGUCACCUCAGUGUGGCACCCUAGUUACUUAUACGGUGAAAUGUGUCAUACCCUAGCUAUUUACACAUCCAGAUCUGCGUUACUCUCGCCGCUGACGACCAUCAAAACCAUGCAAUCCAGCCCCGUCACCGUAGAUCAAGCGCUGUCGUGCGGCAAUCAUGAGGCCCGGAUCUUCCAGCUCACAAGGCGGCCAUUGCGGCAGCGGAAACCGCUCCGACAAGAGGAAUGGGGUGAAGCGGCCGGCGCCCGACUCUGACCCCGAACGGGCGGCGCGGGUUGCUUCCGACGCUGCUCGGAAGCGCGGCUCGCGCAAGUACACGAACUGGGGGCUCGUGCCGCCGCGUGCGUUCGCUCGGCGCUCGGUGGAGGAGUACGACCGCCAGAUGGUGGCGCCGCCGCGAGGUAGCUCCUCUACUGCAGCUGGCGCGGGGAGCUCCGCCAUUGCACCCGCACCGCUGCCGCCUCCGAAGAGGGAGGGGGAGGAGAAGGGCUUGGCACUGCGCCCCGGGUGCCUCGGCUUUCUACCGGGAGACUACGCCGACGACGACGACCUCGAUGGCGUCAUCGCCGAGAUUAUGGAGCGCACCAAGGACGAGCCCCAGCAGCUUGUCGCACGUCGGCAGAUGGAAGAGGAGCUCGACGAGUUCCGCCUCCGCCAAGCCAUCGAGAAAUCCCGCCCCGACUCCGACUCCGACUGACCGGCGUCGCCGCCUCGUCGGGGCCGCACCCCUAGGGUUCAGGUGAGCCCAAUUUUGGAGAUAUAACUAGGGGUAGGAGCUUUAUGUAAUCGAAGUACUCCGUGUGGCUUUUGCUCCGACGAGCCCGCCAUUAGAACUGGGUGUAAACGAACCACUACUACUCCGUGUGUAAUCGAACCACUAUGUUUGCUAAAAUGUAUCUAUGUUGUUUGAAUUCGAUCGAUUUCGGUUGAAUGCUUGUAAAUUUGCUAUUCUGAAUCGAAGCUCGCCGGCGUUGCCGUGCUUCGUCGCUGGAGAAGAAGAAGAGGGAGGAUGCGCGCGCAGGGGAAAACUGUUUAACCGUAGUCGCCGCCAUCUGGGUCCCAUGUCGACGUGGAUAAGCUCUGGGUCCCGCCCGGUUCCACCUAAUCCUGACAGAGAUUGUGCUUAAGGGUCAUGUCGUGCCUGGGCUAUUUGUGCUCACAGAGAUGUCGCAACAGAGCCAUUCUUGCGAACGAUGUCGCUUUGCAGUCAAUUUGCAGAAAAACGUCGCACAAGAGCUAUUGACCCUCUAACAAUAGACCUGAAUGCCCGUAUAUGUAGCUGUCAUAACUAACUAAUUAAUUAGGACAUUCAUUUUACUAGUAUAUAGUUUCAAAAAAUAUCAUUCUUUAGCUUUCUAAGCAUGGUUAUGAUCUACUGCUCUGACUAUCUGGUUGACCACCUUUGCAACCAUCAUGAAGUUAGUAUUUUAUUUAGAUGUUGGAGUAUUUUUAUUAUUGAUUUUAAUUAUUUUAUCGAAUGAAGAUUUCAUUUAUUUGUUUGAAUGAAGAUCCACAGUACGAAACUGUUUUGAAUCAUGAGAGUGGCAAAUAUCCGCGGAGAAGAUAUAGGAAGACCAACCGGAUGAUGAUUCUAGGAAAAUAAAUCCAACUUUUUGGGUCUGGCCCCGUCUCCAUUCCUUUGAAAUAAAAUAGAAAAUACAUAUCCAAUAAAUCAUAUUCAGUUGUGUUCCAGUGAUGAGCCCAUACGCGGCAGCACACUUCCUGUUCGUAACAGCACACUGAAGCCCAGCCAGCUGAGAAGGUCAGCAAGCUUUAGGUGUUGUCAGAGAAGGGAUGAGCAAGAUUGGACUUUACAAUGAGCUUGUUUGGGAUUCUACUCGGGUCCAAACAAUGCCCGGUUAAUUGAGAAGGGCUUCUUGGAAGUGUUUUUGCCAAGCCAAGUAGCCAACAUGAACCAUGAUGUAUUCUCUUGGCCUACAGCCGGUGAGAAGGGGAUGACGCUGGCUGAGCUGUGAGAAUGCACUCGGUGGACAGAUAUUUCACAUCCCUUCAUGACAGAAAUCUGCGUGCUAUCAUGUUGGUAUCCUCCAAUCUCUCACACAACCAGACAUUGUAGACAUGCUAGUACUACUGAAUGAUAAUAUAUGGUCGAGAAUAAGUAACCAAGCAAAAAUAUUGGUUGCUAUCUAUAUUAGCAAGCUCAUUGACACACACACUCAGAUAGGAAUGGGAACUCUGGUGCAUAUGUGCAUGAUAUAUAUAUUCUUGCAACAAGAAAUGGCACAUGCAUAUAAGCAUGAGUACAUGGGAACUCUGGUGCAUAUGUGCAUGAUAUAUAUAUUCUUGCAACAAGAAAUGGCACAUGCAUAUAAGCAUGAGUACAUGGGAACUCUGGUGCAUAUGUGCAUGAUAAUUAAAGUCUAACGUGUGUGAGCAACUGAGCACAUCAC
rnacentral:lncRNA from 1 species